GCCCAAUUAGCUCAGUCGGUAGAGCGCAUGCCUUUUAAGCAUGUGGCCGUGGGUUCGAGUCCCACAUUGGGUA
rnacentral:tRNA from 1 species